rnacentral:rRNA from 1 species
AGUAAAUAGAUACCCGGGUAGUCCACGCCGUAAACGAUGUCGACUUGGAGGUUGUGCCCUUGAGGCGUGGCUUCCGGAGCUAAACGCGUUAAAGUCGACCGCCUGGGGAGUACGGCCGCAAGGUUAAAACUCAAAUGAAUUGACGGGGGCCCGCACAAGCGGUGGAGCAUGUGGUUUAAUUCGAUGCAACGCGAAGAACCUUACCUACUCUUGACAUCCAGAGAACUUAGCAGAGAUGCUUUGGUGCCUUCGGGAACUCUGAGACAGGUGCUGCAUGGCUGUCGUCAGCUCGUGUUGUGAAAUGUUGGGUUAAGUCCCGCAACGAGCGCAACCCUUAUCCUUUGUUGCCAGCGGUUAGGCCGGGAACUCAAAGGAGACUGCCAGUGAUAAACUGGAGGGAGGUGGGGAUGACGUCAAGUCAUCAUGGCCCUUACGAGUAGGGCUACACACGUGCUACAAUGGCGCAUACAAAGAGAAGCGACCUCGCGAGAGCAAGCGGACCUCAUAAAGUGCGUCGUAGUCCGG